rnacentral:ribozyme from 13 species
UCGGGUCGGCAUGGCAUCUCCACCUCCACCUCCUCGCGGUCCGACCUGGGCAUCCGAAGGAGGAGCGGACGUCCACUCGGAUGGCUAAGGGAGAGCCCAG